UACGUAGGGGGCUAGCGUUGUCCGGAUUUAUUGGGCGUAAAGAGCGUGUAGGCGGCCAGGUAGGUCUGGUGUGAAAACUCGAGGCUUAACCUCGAGAUGUCAUCGGAAACCAUCUGGCUAGAGUCCGGAAGAGGAGAGUGGAAUUCCUGGUGUAGCGGUGAAAUGCGCAGAUAUCAGGAAGAACACCAAUGGCGAAAGCAGCUCUCUGGGACGAUACUGACGCUGAGACGCGAAAGCGUGGGGAGCGAACAGG
rnacentral:rRNA from 1 species